rnacentral:rRNA from 1 species
UACAGAGGGGGCAAGCGUUAUUCGGAAUUAUUGGGCGUAAAGGGCGCGUAGGCGGCCUUUCAAGUGACGGGUGAAAGCCCUCGGCUUAACCGAGGAACUGCCUGUCAGACUGGAAGGCUUGAGACCGGGAGAGGUGAGUGGAAUUCCCAGUGUAGCGGUGAAAUGCGUAGAUAUUGGGAGGAACACCAGUGGCGAAGGCGGCUCACUGGACCGGUACUGACGCUGAGGAGCGAAAGCGUGGGGAUCAAACAGG